CACCUGAGCUCCAUUAGUGAUCAGUGGGGCCAUAUAACCUUCCUGGAGCCAGUGAUCUCUUCCUCUUUGGUUUCCUGCCUUGCUGCCACCGGAGCUGUCGGCCUUGCUCAUGCUAUAGGACUGUGUAGUUCAUUGUUUAGUAGCCUAGUGUUAUUUAAAGAAGCUGGUCCAUCCAAUUGGUCCAUCCAUGGGCCGAAGUUUCAAAAUUAUCAUGUUAUUAUUAUCAAGCAAAGCUGUCUAACGGAGAGAUAUGGAAUACAAACCAAGAGCCUGCAGACAAUGUUGUGCCUGGAGAGAAACAAGCACAAUAACAGGGAGCUUCUACAAAAAGCACAAGAGGAAUAAUUCUUCUCUGAGGGCCUGGUGCUGUAGAGCAUUUCGGUGGAAAAUCCAUCAACAUCUAAUUUGUUGAAUUGAUUUUGGGGUUGUGUGGAUGAGGGAUUAGGAGCAUGUUCAGAUAUAUAAACUAAUGAGCUGACUGCUGGGUAACACCUGAGAUCAAUACGGGCUGCUGCUCAUUUAACAAGUGCGUUUGCCCACUCUUGAACUGAAAGGUAUAGGUAUAUAAAAUUGCUGAAUUAUAGGAUGAAUAGCUCAAAGGUUCAGAAUGUCCAGUUAUAAAGAUUAGAAGACUUUGGGGUAUCUCAAUAUAUUGAGAUAUACUUGUUGUUACUGGAUUUAGUAUAAUAAUAACUGGACUGGUGGGAAAAGGGAUUAUUAAACUGACACUAAAAUGUAUUUGAUGUGUGUGGAGUCUGCUUCCUGGUAGCAGUACUGUCAUAAAAUACUAUCAUUUAAGAAAACAGAGACUGAACAGAGAGUGUUUGUUUAUUCAUCAAUAUGUAAAUAAAGUACAAACAACAAUUGAACAUAAUGUCAAAUACUUAUACUUGACGGGAU
rnacentral:lncRNA from 1 species